rnacentral:tRNA from 1 species
GUUAAUUAGUUUAAGUAAAAUAAAAACUUUGUAAGUUUAAGAU